UACGUAGGGUGCGAGCGUUAAUCGGAAUUACUGGGCGUAAAGCGUGCGCAGGCGGUUUUGUAAGCCAGAUGUGAAAUCCCCGGGCUUAACCUGGGAAUGGCAUUUGGGCCUGCAAGGCUUGAGUGCGGCAGAGGAGACUGGAAUUCCUGGUGUAGCAGUGAAAUGCGUAGAUAUCAGGAGGAACACCGAUGGCGAAGGCAGGUCUCUGGGCUGACACUGACGCUCAUGCACGAAAGCGUGGGGAGCAAACAGG
rnacentral:rRNA from 1 species